AUUGAACGCUGGCGGCAUGCUUUACACAUGCAAGUCGAACGGUAACAGGUUAAGCUGACGAGUGGCGAACGGGUGAGUAAUGCAUCGGAACGUGCCCGAUCGUGGGGGAUAACGCAGCGAAAGCUGCGCUAAUACCGCAUACGAUCUGAGGAUGAAAGCGGGGGACCGGAAGGCCUCGCGCGAUCGGAGCGGCCGAUGUCAGAUUAGGUAGUUGGUGGGGUAAAGGCUCACCAAGCCGACGAUCUGUAGCUGGUCUGAGAGGACGACCAGCCAAACUGGGACUGAGACACGGCCCAGACUCCUACGGGAGGCAGCAGUGGGGAAUUUUGGACAAUGGGCGAAAGCCUGAUCCAGCAAUGCCGCGUGCAGGAAGAAGGCCUUCGGGUUGUAAACUGCUUUUGUACGGAGCGAAAAGGCUCUCUCUAAUACAGGGGGCUCAUGACGGUACCGUAAGAAUAAGCACCGGCUAACUACGUGCCAGCCGCCGCAGUAA
rnacentral:rRNA from 1 species